rnacentral:rRNA from 1 species
UAACGCGUGGGUAACCUGGCCCAUACAGGGGGAUAACACUUAGAAAUAGGUGCUAAUACCGCAUAACAACAGAAAGCGCAUGCUUUUUGUUUGAAAACCAAGGUGGUAUGGGAUGGACCCGCGUCUGAUUAGCUGGUUGGCGGGGUAAAGGCCCACCAAGGCGACGAUCAGUAGCCGGCCUGAGAGGGUGGACGGCCACAUUGGGACUGAGACACGGCCCAAACUCCUACGGGAGGCAGCAGUGGGGAAUAUUGCACAAUGGGGGAAACCCUGAUGCAGCGACGCCGCGUGAGUGAAGAAGUAAUUCGUUAUGUAAAGNUCUAUCAGCAGGGAAGAAAAUGACGGUACCUGAGUAAGAAGCCCCGGCUAACUACGUGCCAGCAGCCGCGGUAAUACGUAGGGGGCAAGCGUUAUCCGGAUUUACUGGGUGUAAAGGGAGCGUAGACGGCAGUGCAAGUCUGGAGUGAAAGGCGGGGGCUCAACCCCCGGACUGCUCUGGAAACUGUACGGCUGGAGUGAAGGAGAGGUAAGUGGAAUUCCUAGUGUAGCGGUGAAAUGCGUAGAUAUUAGGAGGAACACCAGUGGCGAAGGCGGCUUACUGGACUGUAACUGACGUUGAGGCUCGAAAGCGUGGGGAGCAAACAGGAUUAGAUACCCUGGUAGUCCACACCGUAAACGAUGAUUACUAGGUGU